CGCCUCUCAGCUGAUCGGCGGGUGGGCGGGGCUUCCAGGGAGGCCUCCGUGUAGGCCUCAGUGAAGCCUGAAUUCGAGUAGGCUGGCAAGCCCCAGGAAGAAGGCUGGCAGUCAGAGUGGCCACUACAGCUCUCUGCAGCAGACCCUCUUCCCAGGCCAGACAGCUCAGCCUUUGCCAGGUAGAAUAUGAAUUCCUUUUUGUGGUUACACUCCCCCCACCCCCUAUAUAGGGAUCUGCUUGCCAUAGGGCUUUGAUGGGUGGGGGGGGACUGAGAAGUCUCUGAAUAUUUAAUUUAAAACUGAUUGGAAAAUUUGCUGGCUUAAAAAAAACCCUCUAAAAAGUCCUAUAAGUGGCUUGUUUCAUGGCAGGAAAUUACAAAAACUUCUGGAACAGAUUUAUUUAUGUAUUAAUUAAUUAAUUCAUUCAUUCAUUCAUUCAUUCAUAAAUACACUUAUGUUCAAGUUGUUUUGCAACCCAGGUCUGAGUGAGAACUGAGACGUGAGUGAGAACUGUGACGCAUGUGUUGUGUUUUUAUAUUUUUUCCCCUUAGGGUAAAUCUGGCCAACAUGUGAAUGCAGCACCUCCAUUCCAGAGGAGAUGUGUGUUAAAGGGCUUUAAAAGCCUCUUGUGAAAAACCUCCUGGAAUCAAACUUUACUGAAUUGGUUCAGAAUUCUGAGAAAACAAACAUAGGCUCACCCUGCAUGGUUGAAAGUCUCCUUUGCUAAUCUGCAGCAAGGGGCCCAUUUUAAUAAUUAGUGUUUCUAGUGUCUUCUCAUUUGCUCAAUUUUGUACAUCUGUUUUUUGUAUGUUUUGAAUGAGGACAGAAAUGUGAGAAUAAAAGCCCCCCGCUAACUGGGCAAAGAGGCACCUUUUUCUCUUUGUAAACCACCCUGAGCCAUUUUUGGAAGGGCAGUAUAGAAAUUGAAUUAUUAUUAUUAAUUAUUAUUAUUAUUAAAAAAUUUCUCGGCGGGGGGGCCCAUUUAAGAAUCUUGUCUCAGGGCCCACUCUAACCUAGUUACGCCCCUGGUACUAUUCAACUGUUAGGGCCUUACUCUUGAUCAUAAGUCGAAGAACUGGUUGAUCUCCAGGCCUGGUCUAAGCCCUUCCAGCAACUCAGGUGGCAUAAUGAGUUGCUGUUUCUGUCCUCACACUGUGUUCUAUGCACCUUGCACUACCAGUCUCCUUACUACACACCCGAUUUCUCCACCCGUUCCCACAGCAAUCUUUCCUCUCACAUCCCCAACCUUCCCUGCACCCCCGUAUCUCCUUACCCGCCCACUGAAAGUGGAGAUAGAGGCUACUGCUCCUAUUGCUCCUCCUUGUCCAACUUCCUAUCUACUUAUGUCUGUAUAUAUUUAUAAAUACAACCUUUAGUCUGUAGAUCCCGUGUGGAAUGCACAUUUCCUGCUGUUCCAUUCCACAUGUCUGCCUUUUCAAAAAGACGAAAAGGAGUAAUUGGUCGCUGUUACUGCAACUAUUAAGUUGGGUGUCUAUUAAGUUGGCUAUUAAUUAGGCUGUCUGGUGAGGCAGCCAGUGAGGUGGGUGGCAGAACUGGAUGAAGGGCAUCCACUGCCAUCUUUACAACCUUCUUACCUGAGGUGGUUGCCUCAUUGCACCUCACUGGUGGGCCAGACUGUUGUCCUCUAAUACUGCAUGCUCAGUUCAUGCCCAAGGUGUCCAGGAAAUGGGCACUAUGUUUCUUCCAGUGGGGAAGUCAUAGCUGCUGAAAUGGUUAUCACAUUGCUUUCUUCACAAUAUUGCCAUAGAAUAUUGUGUUUUACCCCACAGCCUAGACCAUCAUUACAUUCUGUAGGUUCUCUGAAGCUGUAAAUCCACUUAGCCCUUGGAUUUGACUGAUUAAAUAAUUCUCAACAGAAUUCUCUUUGAACUUUAGUCACAUUUUACUUUCAACAUAAGGACCUUGUUUUGCUUCCUUAAAGAGAAUACAUAAAGGCUUAUAGACCAGUGAUCUUCACUAUUUUUCAGGCAGAGGUCACUUUGGCAAAACAAAACAAAACACCAUUCAUUGUGAGAGCCAUUUCUCAUUGCUCUGACCUCUGCUUUCCCCAGUGCUAGGGAGACCUUUAAGACAAAUGGAGCUCUGGCAAGCCCCAGCAAUGUCCGUGAAGACGCAGAGAUGUAUGGGGAAAGCAGCACUGGGAAGAACUAUACUUCUUAGCAUUCUGUGCGUGCUUUCCAAGAUGGCUCUACGACUUGACAGGGCUCGGUUUCCCUUAGAGGAGACCCACAGCAUCGGGCAAAGCACAACACUUGCAGUAAAGAACACUGCUAUAGACUAUGGUGGGAAUAAUGUAUUCAGGUUAAUUUUCGUCCUCAUUGUACAGGCACAGUUAAAACAUGCUCAAGACGAUCAUCUGUUUUGUGAACUAUGAAAAUGCAGCCACCACAGACUUGAGGCUUAUAUACCAAAAUAAGUAUGUGUAUUUAAAAUAAGGUUGGCUUCAACCUCUUCUUCAUUCUCUCUCUCUUUUUUAAAGCAUGAAGCAUGUUAAAACAGGAAAACCUGGUCAUGUGUAAGGAACUGCUGAUGAAGAUUUAAAAACAAAAAACCCAUUAGAGCCUUAAAUCACUUCAGCUAGUUGGAGGGAAGAAUGUUUAAAUCUCUAAGUGGUAAAAGAGAAAGAAAACUAUUCGAAGAUCUUUGAGUAUCUUCCUGAUUGCAAGGGAAAAUCUAUGAGCGCUCAGCAGCAAUUUAAAUUUGCAUUUUCAGUUAUCCCUGCUGAGACCAUCGAAGAUGAAACAGUAGGGUUGAAUGUAAUUUACUGCAGGAACUACUCAAGACUGUUCUAGCAAUACACAUUGUACUUGCAAUUAUUUUUAUGAAUACUCCUUUGCCAAUUGCCAACUUAUUUUUUUUAAGGGAAAAAACUCCCUAACUACUUUUAAACCUCAUUCCCAAUCAGCAUAUAAGAAAAAGAUGGCAAAACACAUGUCCAAAGAAGUAUAUACCCUGACAGUUCUGCCCACAGUAAGCAAGAUGAAAAGAAAAGUAUAACAUCAAACCUUUAUGAGGUAUGGCUUCCAAACAUGUAUAAUUACGACACCAAUGUGAUUUUCCCAGAAGGCUGUGCACAUGUGUGUGUUUUUCUUUGCACAGAGGUUAUCUCCAUGUAGGAAACAAUCAUAAAAAGCAGUCUUGAAGAGAGAGAGAGAGAGAGAGAGAGAGAGAGAAUGUGUGUUUGAAGCAAAGACAGCACCAGCGUGGUAAGUCACAGGUUUUUGAGCAUGGCACUCAAAGAACAAGACAGGACAGAAAAAAAGCCUCAAGAAGAAGCAGAAUGGGCAGGUGGAACAAGUGAGAAGUGAGGGGACUCUGCUUUCCUAAGUCUACCAUCCUAAGACAACCAUCCUACACACUGCAUUUCAACCAAAGUUUGGGUGACUCUGGAUCAGUCAUGUAUCUCUCAGCCUAACCUACCUCACAGGUUGUUUUGAGGAUAAAAAUUAAGCUCUGAGCUCCUCGGAGGAAGAGCGGGUUAUAAAUGUAAGUAAGUAAGUAAAUAAAUAAAUAAAUGAUUUACAUAGAAAAAUGAAAAAUAAAUAAAUAAGAUGGUUCCCUGUCUCCAAAGGGCUCACAGUCUAAAAUAAGUAUAAGGUAGACAUCAGCAACAGCCAGGGAGAUGUGCUGUGCUGGGGUUGGAUAGGGCCAACACAGUAGGAAGCUCCAUUGUACCCAACAGAGUUGAGUCAAUGGGCAUUGGAUCAUUCUGUAAGCAUUGCUGUAAUGACUGAAGGGACUUCAGGCAAAAUGAAGUCCAAUCUUAUGCAUGCUUAUUUAAUUGUAUGAAAUAGUCCUUGGUUCUGGAUGCUGCUAAGAAGAGCUAUGCUGCUAGUGGAAAGGCAAGGCCAUCCUGAAUGAGUCACAAAAAUGAACCCAUCCACAAGUCAUUCAGACUCAUUCAGCGCUCUUGUAAGAAAUUCAUUCAUUCAUUCAUUCAUUCAGUCAGUCAGUCAGUCAGUCAGUCAUUCAAUUUCUAUACCACCCUUCCAAAAAUGGCUCAGGGCGGUUUACACAGAGAAAUAAGAAAUAAAUAAGAUGGAGCCCUGUCCCCAAAGGGCUCACAGUCUAAAAAGAAACAUAAGACAGACACCAGCAACAGUCACUGGAGGUACUGUGCUGGGGGCCGAUAGGGCCAGUUACUCUCCCCCUGCUAAAUAAAGAGACUCACCACGUUAAAAGGUGCCUCUUUGCCAAGUUAGCAGAAAUGACAAGUUGUUCUAGUAAGAAGCAAUCAGCCUACUCUGCUUUUACAAUCUCUACAACUGGACUACAUUUGGUUCAAAUGAGGCCCACAAGUUAGAUCUCUUGCACCUCAAAUGUUCAUGCAUCUGCCAUCUUGGAUCAGGGCAGAUGACAUCAUUACAAACUAUACCAUUGAGGUGUCUCUGUGUGUCACUCACUACAGCUGUACCAUAUUUGGUUCAAAUUGGUUAGAAAGUCCUCAAGUUGUGCCUCAAAAGUUCACAUGUCCACCAUCUUGGAUCGGGGUGGAUGACAUCAUCAAAAACUACACCAUUGGGGCAUUCCUAUGUGCCCAUACAGCUGUAGCAAAUUUGGUUCAAAUCGGUUAGACUGUACACAGGUUAGUGCACUUGUGCCUCAAAAGUUUACAUGUCCGCCUUCUUGAACUGGGGUGGAUGAAAUCAUCACAUUCUUCACCAUUGAGGUGUCCCUAUAUGUCCCUACAGCUAUAGCAAAUUUCAUUCAAAUCAGUUAAGGCGGUUCACAAGUUAGCUCAUUUGCGCCUCAAAAGUUUAUGGUUCUGCCAUCUUGAAUCAGGGUGGAUGACAUCACCACCACUGAUGACAUCACCACCACACAACACCACUGAGGUGUCUCUGUGUGCCACUCACGACAACUGUACCUAAUUUGGUUCAAAUCAGUUAGAUAGUCCACAGGUUAGCCCACUUAUGCCUCAAAUGUUCAUGCAUCCGCCAUCUUGGAUUAGGGUGGAUGACAUCAUCACAAACUAUGCCAUUGAAGUGUCCCUACAGCUGUAGCAAAUUUGGUUGAAAUCGGUUAAGUGGUUCACAAGUUAGCCCACUUGCACCUCAAAAAUUUACACGUUCGCCAUCUUGAAUCGGUGUUGAUGAAAUCGCCACAAACUAUGCUGUUGAGGUGUCCCUGUGUGUCACUCAGUGCAACUGUACCUAAUUUGGUUUAAAUUGGUUAGAUAGUCCACAAAUUAGCCCACUUGCACUUCAGAUGUUCACAUGGCCGCCAACUUGAAUUGGAGUGGAUGACAUCAUCACAAACUAUACUAUACAGGUGUCCCUACAACUGUACCCAGUUUGGUUCAUAUUGGUCCAGGUGUUGUAAAUAGUGGGACACACACACAGAGAGACACACACAGAAUGCCGGCUGAUCUCAUAAGCCUACUGGAAAGUAGGCUAAAAAAUGAACCAAAUCAGCUCAGUAUAGUUCAAUUUUUCAUUCACUUUGAAAUGAGUGCACACCCUUAAUAAACUCUCUUUUAUAUGCAUUUGUGUAUUUAAUAUAACCAUAUUCAGCCUGUGUGAUGUAGUGGUUAGAGUGUUGGAACAGGACUGGGGAGUCUCAAGUUCAAAUUCCCACUCAGCCAUGAAACUCACUGGGUAGCUCUGGGCCAGUAGCUUAUCUCUCAGCCUAAUCCCCCUCACCGAGUUGUUGUGAGGAUAAACACAACCACAUGCACCACUCUGGGUUCCUUGGAGGAAGAGUAGGAUAUAAAUGUAAGUAAGUAAAUAAAUAAAUAUUCUUAGGUUAAAAUAGAAUCUAAUGCAUAGUUAUUUAGGUACAAAGUGUUGAUUCUCCCCGCCCCCCGCCAAGAAAGGCAUCAUUUGGAAGCAUUAAAAAGGAGUCCUAGAUGCAACAGGGAUGAGGCCAGAUUGGCACUAGGAUCCACUCUCCAGGGUUCUCAGCCAUGACAUUUGAAAUAUGCUGAGUGCAGUCAACUGCCUUGCACAGCUGUUUAUACAUAGACCUCCGUGGCUUUGUUUGGAUAAGUAGUAUUUGACUAAAAAACUGCCCUUUCUACGAGGCUGUUGAUGUAGCUCACUCCUUCACUGUCAGCAGGAAGUCAUGGGCAAUGAUGCAUUUUAAAGUUCACCAUUUUGGGUCCUGCAAUGAACCAUAAAUAUUCAAAGCAUAUAAAAGAGCACAGUUAGAGCAAAUCAAGCACAGAGCUUAUAAGCAGUACUGCAGAAAGGCCGGACUUCAUAACACCUGCAGUGUAUGCAGAUACCUAGCUAUUUCCUCCGCUUUUCAACGUAUCAGAGGUCUCCUGAAACCCAGUAAUGUGAGAAUUAUCCCACAUAAUAAUUAUCCCAAAAGAGAGAGGAGGAAUGUGGCAAGGCAAAAUUUGCUCCAUGUUCUUUUCCCAAGAACAUGUUCUCAAUGCCUAGAACAUGUGACAUGAUGUUCACUUGCCUACAGCAUAUGAAAUAGAAUAGUGCUUCUGAAGAUGUAAGGUAAGAUAAAAUGUGCCAUCAAGUCAAUUUCGACUCUUGGUGCCAAAAGAGCCCUGUGGUUUUCUUUGGUAGAAUACAGGAGGGGUUUACCAUUUCCUCCUCAGCAUCUUCCUAUAUUGCUGCUGCCCGAUAUAGGUGUUUCCCAUAGUCUGGGAAACAUACCAGUGGGGAUUCAAACCAGCAACCUUCUGCUUGUUAGUCAAGCAUUUCCCCACUGCACCACUUAAGGUGUACACCAUAUAUAAUGUGGUGUUAUGAUUAGGGUGUUAGACUAAGAGCAGGGAGACUUCGGCUCAUAUCCCACUCAACAUGAUACUCUUUGGGCGAUGCUGGGACAUUCACUCUUUAAUAGGGGUGUGCACAAAUUGAUUUUUUAAAUUUUGAUUUGUACCUAAAUUGAAACAAAUCCUUCACAAAUCAAUUUGUUUUGGGUCUGAAUCUAACCCCACCCACCCCGAAUUACCCCAGAUUAGAUUUGUACCUGAAUUUUCUGAAUCUGAAUCCAAAUGGAUUCAGAUUUUUUAAAAGGGUCUUGGGGCCAAAAGAGUGCGGUGGUUGGUAAUGCCAAAUCAGUGGCCUGUUUAUGAGGCUGAUGAAGGUGGAGUAUUGGGAAAACUACUGAAAUGGUGAGGGUGGGCACUCUGUGCCCACUGUUUACCUGUCAGCCACCUCCAUUUCCAGCCAGUGCCACCACCACAGGUGAUACGCUGAACACUGCUGCUCCCCCUUCUGCUCUUGACUGAAUUUUAAAAAUGAAAUUAAGUGCAGAGGAGAAGAGUGGUAGCCUAGAGUACCUCCUGGGAGAUGCUCUAUGCCAACAUUCUUCUUCUCCACACUUCUUUAAAAAGGAAAGAGCAACAAAGGAGUAGGAGCAACAGACACUGAAAAGAAAAAUACAAGGAGUUAGGGGUAGGGAUGUGCACGGAACCAGUCUGUACAGUCCCAGGAGAGUGGGGGGUCACUUUAAGGGACAGGGAAGGUUAUUCCUACCUGCCCAUCCCACACACGCACACACGCAUCGGCCAUGUGCAUGGCAACACUGAAUGGGGCUGCAAGCAGGAACGCUGCAGCCCCGUGCCCACACUGUUUAGGAGAGCACCGGCAGGGAAAAAGCAGUGGGGCAGGGAUUUGCAGGUAGGAAGCACCUUGCCUGUCCCUUAAAGUGACCCCUGCCCUCCUAACAGGCUCAAACACCGGACCUUCAAACUGAUUCGGUGUUCCAGAAAAGGAGUGCUGAACUGGUUCCAUGCACAUCCUUAGUAAGGGGGUGCCCACUGCAUGCUUCUGGGGAAGAGAGCAGUUCCGCCUUGCUCCACUGUCUUAGACACCAGGGCGGCUUGAGUCAUCACGGAAUAGAAUCACUCCUCUGCCCCACUGUCCGUCAGACUCAUUCUGGCACAGCACCUAUGAAAGGUGGGUGUGGGUUUUCUCAUCCACAGACUUGACAGUGUUGCUGUCACAUGGUUUGGGCCAGUGCAGAUCGGACAUCCAUGGCAAGCAAGUGCUGUGGGUAGCCAUAUCAUGGACCUCAUGGAUUAUCUGGCUGUGCUUCAAACCAUAUACAGCCGUACAGCAGAACUGACAAUGAAGACAUUGAAGUGGAAGAUAGCUUCUGCCUUUACUGCAUCAACAGUAAAAGAUCUAACAGUCAAGAAAUACGCCACAGACUAGCACUUGGUAGGGUUGCAAUGAAGGCCUUGGAAAGGAUAUUUAGAUGCUGUGAUGUGUCUAAACCUACGAAGAUUAGAAUCGUUCGGACAAUGGUUUUCCCUGUGAAAACUCUAUGGAUGCAAAAGCUGGACUUUAUUAUUUAUUUAUUUAUUUAUUUAUUUAUUCUAUUUCUAUACUGAACUUCCAAAAAUGGCUCAGAGCAGUUUACACAGAGAAAUAAUAAAUAAAUAAGAUUUAUUAUGUUAUUUAUUUAUUAUCUUAUCUUAUUCUGGCUCACCACUGAACUAGCUACAGCCCUUUAACAGUAUGCCAAGGCAUCGCUUUUCUACAAUUAGCUACAAGUGGAAUUAAAAUGGAGUUUCCACACAGCAUUUAGCAUAGCACUAUAUUAAAUAGAAAUAGAAAUGACAUUUCUCACUACAGCACCAGGCUAGAUUAUUGGGAGAUGAGAAUUAAACCUAGUGUUCACUAAGGUGCUUAAAGAGCUGCACCAUUUCAGACUUUAGGUGAUGACUCACAUGGAGGAACAUUCUCCUAAAAAAAAAAAAUCCUACGUGUAGAAAGCUAGCAUGUGAAGGAGAAGGCUAAGCUAGGGCAUCACAUAUUAUAUAUGGAUGGGUUUUUUGUUAUUGUUUGCAUAGAGGUGUAUUCAAUCAUGUGAACACUCAUCUUCAAGCAAAAGUGGUCAGUAGUGGCUGAUGAGUGCCACUUUGGGGGGCGGCGGCGGGCAGUGGCAGUGAGGACGGGGAAAUAGCUCUUUAACCGGCAGCAAACCUACCUGCUGCCAGUACCUGGAAUGCUUUGUGGGGUGCCUGAUCUGGCAUCCCGUGGGGAGGCUGUCUCAUCCCCGCUGCUCAGUUGGCCUCUGCUUAUGCCAUGUUUGUUUUCAUGUGUUUUUAAUUGUGUAAUUUUAUUUCACAGUGGUUUCAUUGUUUUAUUUUGUAAGCUGCUGAGGGGAAAAAAUUGUUAUGGGCCAGCCAUAUAAAGUAAGUUGUUGUUUUUGUUGACAGCCAUAUAAAGGUGGUUGUUGUUGUAGUAGCUGUUAAAGGUAAAGUGUGCCAUCAAGUUGAUUUCGACUCCUGGCACCCACAGAGCCCUAUGGUUUUCUUUUGGUAGAAUACAGGAAAGGGUUACCAUUGCCUCCUGCCUCACGGUAUGAGAGGAUGCCUUUCAGCAUCUUCCUAUAUCGCUGGUGGCCAAUAUAGUACCAGCAGGGAUUCAAACUGGCAACCUUCUGUUUGUUAGUCAAGCAUUUCCCCAUUGCGCCUCUCAUGGUGACUGUAGUAGCUGUUACAAGCUAGUAAUCACAGGUCCAGAAACAGAAAUGUGCUGGAGUGCAGUGUCCCACCACCUCCAGGCACUAGUUCAGAUAGACUUUACCUUACCACAUGUUCUACUCAGCCAAUAGCGGUGACUGUGCAAAUUUUCCACUACAGAGAUGGUAGAAUUGCGAGAAUCUUUGGACAUGGUUCUAUACUUCCAGUUAAUGUUGCAUAGGCACUUGUAAGCCUAUCGAUCUAAUUAGUUGCAGAGUAUAAUGAAGUACCAAAUAACUUUCCUGGGAUUGCAGCCAAUGAACAAAUUUUCUCUGGGUUGUGAAAUGAGAGUCAUUCUGCAAGAGGGAAGAAGAUAGUGGAUGAAGGAAAGUGAAUAUAGCAACCGAGGCCUGGUUUUGUGAAACUUUAGCAUCGCAGCAGAGAUAAAGUGGGAUAAUUAAGCUCUGCAUUGGGGCAACUGUGGAAAAUCUGGAAUCUUAGCUUUGUGCUGUGCCUAGUUAUAUGAAUGACUAUAUGACUGAGCUCAUAGCUGGCAGCUGCCUCAAUUCAGCCAAUUACUUUAAGCAAAUUGUGUGCUGUUUCAACAUUUGACCUUGGAUAUGUUUUUAAGAGGUAGGAAUGAAAAAUCCAUUACAUCUGAAAUGUGGAAAAAGGCACUUUAAAGUUUUGGGUCUUUUUUCUUUUUUUAAGCUAGUGCAGGAAAUAGCCUACUGAACAAUAUACGUUCAAACCACCCAAUGCUAAUAAACAAUCAUUAGGCCAGGAAGUGAGUUAUAAUUUUAAACACCAUUCACAGAAGACAACAUCCAUAGUUUUUAAUCAAUUACUAAAUCAAAAUUAACUACUGCUACUACUACUACUACUACUACUAAUAAUAAUAAUAAUAAUAUUUAGUAGCCUACCUCCUUAAGCUUCAAUUGAUUUUUCCUCCCUAAGCAUGUACAUGAUGAAACUGAAAAGCAAACAGAAGUAAUAGAAAAUCUUUGCUUUUUCUGAUCUUCGAAACACACAGUGCUGUGACCUUAGGAUAUGAACAAGAAAACUAGAUGUAGAGGAGGAGAGGGAAACCAGACAUGAGGCUGCUUUUUUGCUGGCAGCCAUAUUGGUAUCAUAACUUCUAGUUCCGGUAUUAGUUUCAAGAGUUUACAUGUAAGAUCAGAGCACUGAUUAACCCUUUAGACUUGGACCUCUAAAAGAAUCAGGCCAGCUGCAGAAAUCUUCCCUAAUUCAAAAGCAUUAUGAAACCUUGAAUCAGCGUGAUUACUUUUCUGGGGCUGCUUGACAGCCCAUUUGCAAUAUUUGAGAAAUGAAGAUGUUUGUGCAGCUCUGAGGGGGGGAGACCCCAAUUUCUACAUGAAUAAAAGGAAACCAGAACUGGCAAAAACAUGA